UUCCUGAAGGACUAGUGGAUAGACCUCUGUGCUCUCACAGCCGUGGCCCGGGUUCAAUUCCCGGCCAGGGAA
rnacentral:tRNA from 1 species